UUCUUGGAUUGCUCAACGCUCCAGAUUUUUUGAUCUUCUUUAUCCUUCGUUUCUUAAUCUUCUAAAACAGAUUUCCCAAAUAUGGCAACGGCACCGUUUCAAACAACAACACUGCUGUGGAGUCAACUAACCUUAUCACUCAGCCCAAUUCGUCCGAGUUCAAUUUCGGGUAAAACUCGCAAAUUUCAUCUCAGAGCGAGUUCUGGGUCAUCGAGAUACAAGACUCAGAGAUGGGUUAAGUUUCAAACCGAAGGUGAGAGAUUGAAAAGUACCUUUGUCAACGUUGCGGGUAGUGAUGAUGAUGAAUGUUCUUCAGUAGAUAAUUUGGAAGAUAAAGAGGCAAUCCCAAAGCUGCCGGAACAUGAUUAUGCUGGAACACCUUAUGUUCCUGUCUACGUGAUGUUGCCUUUGGGUAUCAUUGACAUGAAUUGUGAUUUGGUGGAUCGACAUAAUCUCAUUGAGCAACUAAAAGUUUUAAAGUCAAUUAAUGUUGAUGGUGUUAUGGUUGAUUGUUGGUGGGGCAUAGUAGAGGCAAUUGCACCGCAACAUUACAAUUGGAGUGGUUACAGGAAGCUAUUUCAAAUUGUGCAUGGUGUUGGGCUUAAAUUACAGGUGGUUAUGUCUUUCCAUGAAUGUGGAGGUAAUAUUGGGGAUGAUGUGCACAUUCCACUCCCACGUUGGAUCACAGAUUUAGGUCAAGAUAAUCCUGAUAUAUAUUUCACGGAUCAAGAAGGUAGGCGCAAUACAGAAUGCCUCUCCUGGGGGAUUGACAAAGAACGUGUACUAAGAGGUCGUACGGCGGUUGAGGUGUACUUUGACUAUAUGAGAAGCUUCCGUGUGGAAUUUGAUGACUUUUUUGUGAGUGGAACUAUAUGUGAGAUAGAGGUUGGGCUUGGUCCAUGUGGGGAGCUACGCUAUCCAUCCUAUCCAGCAAAGCAUGGUUGGAAGUAUCCAGGCAUUGGUGGAUUUCAGUGUUAUGACAAGUAUCUACUGAAGAGUCUGCAGAAGGCAGCUGAAGUAAGGGGGCAUUUGUCUUGGGCUAGAGCUCCUGAAAAUGCCGGCUGUUAUAAUUCUUGGCCCGACAAGACAGGGUUCUUCAGAGAUGGUGGAGAUUAUGACAGUUAUUAUGGAAGAUUCUUUCUCAAGUGGUAUUCAAAGGUUCUCAUUGAUCAUGGAGAUCGUGUACUUGCCUUGGCAAACCUAGCUUUUGAAGGCUGUAAAAUUGCUGCUAAGCUCUCAGGUAUUCAUUGGUGGUACAAGACAGCUAGUCAUGCUGCUGAGCUGACUUCUGGGUUUUACAAUCCUUGCAAUCGUGAUGGGUAUGCUCCGAUAGCUGCAAUGCUAAAAAAACAUGGGGUUGCUCUGAACUUUACCUGUGUGGAAUUACGCACAAUGGAUCAAGAAGAGGUGUUCCCUGAGGCCCUAGCAGAUCCAGAGGGAUUGGUUUGGCAGGUCCUGAAUGCUGCUUGGGAUGUUUGUAUACCAGUUGCUAGUGAGAAUGCUCUUCCUUGCUUUGACAGAGAGGGUUAUAACAAAAUAUCGGAAAAUGCCAAACCCCAGAAUGAUCCUGAUGGAAAGCAUUUAUCCGCAUUUACUUAUCUCAGGCUCAAUCCUGAAUUAAUGGAGGGAUCCAACUUCAUGGAAUUUGAAAGAUUUGUCAAGAGAAUGCAUGGCAUCAGCUCACAAUCACUAAUUUACGCAUAAGAGAACACUGCAGAAUAAGUAGAACGCAUAAUUAUCUGCAAAAAUACUCUAUUAAAAAGGUCAGGACUCGGGAGAACUGGCCUAAACCUUGCUAAGUCAAAUGGUGGUAGUUACGAAAUCGUGUCAUUUCAAAUGAUGAUAUAAUACACAGUGAUUUUCAAACGAGUUAAUGUUUCAGAAUUGUUUGACAGGAGAAUCAGUCCCAGAUCUUAACUGCCUUGUGGGAAGAUCGUUACCUGAAAGUCAGGAGCCGCCUUUCAGACUUCCAUCUGAAGCCUACUAAAACAGCAUACAACUCAACUAUAGUGCCAUCUGUCAAGCCGUGUUCAUAAUAAUAUAUUAAUGCUAGCUGGACCGUUGAUAUAGGAAGGCUGAACACCCUUGAUAUUAUUGAAGCACAAAUAGACUUCAGAAUGCCGAAAAAGCCUCAGAAUGAAGUACCUCAAGAAUGCUGCUGCGGAUGCUCUCUUACUGCAUGCUAUUGUGCCACUUUUGUGUUGAAGAUGCUAGUUGCUGAUGAUUUUGAGAUAUAAGAACAACAUGCUAUCUUAACAUCCCUUCAAACUUGGGGUUAAAAACGCCUAGUUUGUCUAAUAGCUAUUUAAAGUGCAUAGAGGGAAAAACUUUUGUAAAUAAAAAUGAGUUCUUGUAGGCAGAUAAGACUAUUGUAAUACUCCCUCUAUAACCUUGUCCCAUGAAAAUGACAAUUAAAUUCUAUAUGUUUAGUUCUCAUGAAAAAUCGGAUUUUUGUCAAUGAAAAUAGCUAAUUGAUUGUCACAAAAAAGAGUGACUGACAUGCUUAUUUGAACAUGAAGUUCCUGAAGUAAUCUAAUUAGUCAAGUUAGUUCUGAUAUUGUACUUUCCAUUGC